CUAGCCCUAAACCCAAAUAGUUACAUAACAAAACUAUUCGCCAGAGUACUACUCGCAACUGCCUAAAACUCAAAGGACUUGGCGGUGCUUCACAUCCACCUAGAGGAGCCUGUUCUAUAAUCGAUAAACCCCGAUAGACCUUACCAACCCUUGCCAAUUCAGCCUAUAUACCGCCAUCUUCAGCAAACCCUAAAAAGGAACAAUAGUAAGCACAAUCAUAGCACAUAAAAACGUUAGGUCAAGGUGUAGCUUAUGGGUUGGAAAGAAAUGGGCUACAUUUUCUACAUAAGAAUAUCCACCACACGAAAGUUUUUAUGAAACUAAAAACCAAAGGAGGAUUUAGCAGUAAAUCAAGAAUAGAGUGCUUGAUUGAAUAAGGCCAUGAAGCACGC
rnacentral:rRNA from 2 species